GACGAACGCUGGCGGCGUGCUUAACACAUGCAAGUCGAACGAAGUGGCGAACGGGUGAGUAACGCGUAAACAACCUGCCCUUCAGAGGGGGACAACAGUUGGAAACGACUGCUAAUACCGCAUACUGAAGGAGGGGAUUGCGUCUGAUUCGCCAGUUGGAGGGGUAACGGCCCACCAAGGCGAUGAUCAGUAUCCUGUCUGAGGGUGUGAACGGCCACAUUGUGACUGAGACACGGCCCAGACUCCUACGGGAGGCAGCAGUUGGGAAUCUUCCGCAAUGGACGAAAGUCUGACGGCGCAACGCCGCGUGAGUGAUGACGGCCUUCGGGUUGUAAAGCUCUGUUAAUCGGGACGCGGUACCGGAGUAGAAAGCCACGGCUAACUACGUGCCAGCAGCCGCGGUAAUAC
rnacentral:rRNA from 1 species